rnacentral:rRNA from 1 species
AUUGAACGCUGGCGGCAUGCCUUACACAUGCAAGUCGAACGGUAACAGGUCUUCGGAUGCUGACGAGUGGCGAACGGGUGAGUAAUACAUCGGAACGUGCCCAGACGUGGGGGAUAACGAGGCGAAAGCUUUGCUAAUACCGCAUACGAUCUAAGGAUGAAAGCAGGGGACCGCAAGGCCUUGUGCGUUUGGAGCGGCCGAUGGCAGAUUAGGUAGUUGGUGGGAUGAAAGCUUACCAAGCCGACGAUCUGUAGCUGGUCUGAGAGGACGACCAGCCACACUGGGACUGAGACACGGCCCAGACUCCUACGGGAGGCAGCAGUGGGGAAUUUUGGACAAUGGGCGAAAGCCUGAUCCAGCAAUGCCGCGUGCAGGAUGAAGGCCUUCGGGUUGUAAACUGCUUUUGUACGGAACGAAAAGGCUCUGGCUAAUACCUGGGGCACAUGACGGUACCGUAAGAAUAAGCACCGGCUAACUACGUG